CCAAUAGCGUAUAUUAAAGUUGUUGCAGUUAAAAAGCUCGUAGUUGAAUUUCGGGGUUAGUAGGUUGGUCAUGCCUCUGGUAUGUACUGGUCUCACUGAUUCCUCCUUCCUGAUGAGCCGUAAUGCCAUUAAUUUGGUGUUGCGGGGAAUCUGGACUGUUACUUUGAAAAAAUUAGAGUGUUUAAAGCAAGCUAACGCUUGAAUACAUUAGCAUGGAAUAAUGAAAUAGGACGUUCGAUCCUAUUUUGUUGGUUUCUAGGAUUGACGUAAUGAUUAAUAGGGAUAGUUGGGGGCAUUAGUAUUCAAUUGUCAGAGGUGAAAUUCUUGGAUUUAUUGAAGACUAACUACUGCGAAAGCAUUUGCCAAGGAUGUUUUCAUUAAUCAAGAACGAAAGUUAGGGGAUCGAAGACGAUCAGAUACCGUCGUAGUCUUAACCAUAAACUAUGCCGACUAGGGAUCGGAUGAUGUUAAUUUUUUAAUGACUCAUUCGGCGCCUUACG
rnacentral:rRNA from 2 species